rnacentral:rRNA from 1 species
UACGUAGGUGGCAAGCGUUGUCCGGAUUUACUGGGCGUAAAGGGAGCGUAGGUGGAUAUUUAAGUGGGAUGUGAAAUACUCGGGCUUAACCUGGGUGCUGCAUUCCAAACUGGAUAUCUAGAGUGCAGGAGAGGAAAGGAGAAUUCCUAGUGUAGCGGUGAAAUGCGUAGAGAUUAGGAAGAAUACCAGUGGCGAAGGCGCCUUUCUGGACUGUAACUGACACUGAGGCUCGGAAAAGCGUGGGGAGCAAACAGG